UUACAUUUAACUCUAUUGGAAUCAACUGACUUGAUGCUGCUCCUAGAAUUACCAUUGCAGUUGUUUUUAACCUGGCAUCUUCAAAUUAAUUCUACAGGAGGGAACAGGUUACCUUCUCGCCAACUGCAACUUACACUGUUUUCCAUGCCAUUAGCCAAAGAAGAUGUCGUGUCUCUCAAAGAAGCAGAAAAACAAACCAACCUUGCACCUAUUUAGUGUUUUAAUAUGGUAUACAACGUUAAGGAAAAUUAUAAAACAUUUUCAGAUUUCUAGAAUGAGACACUGGAAAUUCAGACCUCCUACUGGCCUCUCCGAUACUUCAAAGCAGAGCUGAAGCAUUUCUGAAAAAAAAUAUCAUGAAAUCAGCAGUUCUGCUACUAUGGAAGAAUGACAAUAACCAAUGAAAAGUCAACAUUGGGAAGAUCUGUGUGUGAUGGUCCUGAAUGAGAAGCUGAGAUGCACAUGUAUGCAUUUGUGCUCACAGAAAUUGACUAUUUCAACUUUUGAGUCUUCACUUUCAUUUCAUUUGUCCAAGUUUCUCUAGUUAACCAUCCUUCAUCUGAAGCUUUCUGUGUACAUUUAUUUAGAUUUUAUUACCAUUGUAAGUACUGAUUGGGAAAAUAUUUAACUUCAGUAUGCCCAGAAAGCCAAAGGAAGUUUUACAUCUCAUUGAGAACAUUUUCUGUAUGUUGGAUCUUUUUCACUUUAUUUCUCCUAAUGAACAACUUCUCUAAAGAAACAUAUUUCUAACAGAAACUCUUGAAAAGCUUUAGAACUAUUCUGCUAGCAGUAAUUCCUUCUGUAAUAAGAUAAGAAUGGAAAUGUUAUUCUGUGACAAGAAUAUAUUUUAAAGGAAUUCUUGUGACUCCCAGCUAUCAUGUUAAUGGUCAUCAGAAGAACAACUUCACAGAGGAGAAGAGAUGAAAUAAAGACUUUCUAUCACAAAUGUAACUGGGAAAACAAUGGCCAUAUUCUUCUUGAGAGAGUGCUCCAGUAAAUCUUUUAUCUUUGUGAAUGCAGAUGACCUAUGCAAUGCCUUUUUUUUUUUUUUUUUUUUUUUCAUAUACUGGCCUUUCUAAUGUCUUACAUACUAGUGUUACUUUUUCCUUACAUGGAUAAGUAUAAUGAUGACAACCUUAAAGAUGGGGCAUGAGUGGUAAAAGCACCACUAACUUCAGAUGAAAACCAUCUGCUUUGAAGGAAGACAUCAAAUACAGGUCUACCACAUCUAAUCACAACUACAGCCAUUAGACAUUCAUAUUUGACACACUUAAACUCAGUUUAAAUGUCUGGAGCUAUGUUGUCAUGAGGUAAAAAAAAAAACUGUCAAAUGGUAAAGAAUAAAUGUCUUCUACAAAAGAUCUAUUGCUGCAUGGAAAGCAUUGGCUAGGAAAAAUACACGGCUAUUGAAGUAUAAAUUUUGUAUAUAUAACUAUAUACAUAUACUAUACGUAUAAUAAUACAAAUAACAAUAUAAACAUCAUUAUGGACACAUAAGAUAAUCUGAUAGAUCUUUUUGCAUUGUUUCCCAAAGAGCUGCACAAAAAGAUACACUUUCAAAAUAUUGUCUUCUAAAUGUAUUUGUAUCUGCAUUUAGGACUACAGCAAAAUCUUCAACCUGUCAAAACGCUAUUUGCAAAUGUAUCUUAAAUAACACCAGAACCACUUUAAAAUAAUUAAACCCCAGAAGUUACUCAGGAUUUGUACU